UUGAACGAAGUAUUACCGAAGCAACAGAGAGUUCGAUCAUGGCUCAGAUUGAACGCCGGCGGGAUGCUUUACACAUGCAAGUCGUGAACGGCAGCACGGACUUCGGUCUGGUGUGGCGAGUGGCGAACGGGUGAGUAAUGUAUCGGAACGUGCCUAGUAGCGGGGGAUAACUACGCGAAAGCGUAGCCAAUACCGCAUGCCCUUCGGGGGUGCGACCUUCGGGCCUCGCACUAUUAGAGCGGCCGGAUAUCGGAUUAGCUAGGUUGGUGGGGUAACGGCUCUCACCAAGGCGACGAUCCGUAGCUGGUUUGAGGACGACCAGCCACACUGGGACCGAGGCACGGCCCAGACUCCUACGGGAGGCAGCAGUGGGGAAUUUUUGGGACAAUGGGGGAAACCUCCCUGAUCCAGCCAUCCCGCGUGUGCGAUGAAGGCCUUCGGGUUGUAAAGCACUUUUGGCAGAAAGAAACGGCACGAUAAUACCCCGUGCAACUGACGGUACCUGCAGAAUAAGCACCGGCUACUACGUGCCAGCAGCCGCGGUAAUACGUAGGGUGCAAGCGUUAAUCGGAAUUACUGGGCGUAAAGCGUGCGCAGGCGGUCUGGAAAGAAAGAUGUGAAAUCCCAGAGCUUAACUUUGGAACUGCAUUUUUAACUACCGAGCUAGAGUGUGUCAGAGGGAGGUGGACUCGCGUGUAGCAGUGAAAUGCAGAUAUGCGGAGGAACACCGACGGCGAAGGCAGCCUCCUGGGAUAACACUGACGCUCAUGCACGAAAGCGUGGGGAGCAAACAGAUUAGAUACCCUGGUAGUCCACGCCCUAAACGAUGUCAACUAGCUGUUGGGGCCUUCGGGCCUUGGUAGCGCAGCUAACGCGUGAAGUUGAACGCCUGGGGAGUACGGUCGCAAGAUUAAAACUCAAAGGAAUUGACGGGGACCCGCACAAGCGGUGGAUGAUGUGGAAUAAUUCGAUGCAACGCGAAAACCUUUACCUACCUGAGACAUGUCUGGAAUCCCGAAGAGAUUUGGGAGUGCUCGCAAGAGAACCGGAACACAGGUGCUGCAUGGCUGUCGUCAGCUCGUGUCGUGAGAUGUUGGGUUAAGUCCCGCAACGAGCGCAACCCUUGUCAUUAGCUGCUGGACGAAAGGGCACUCAUCGAGACUGCCGGUGACAAACCGGAGGAAGGUGGGGAUGACGUCAAGUCCUCAUGGCUCCCAAGGCAGGGGCUUCACGCCAGCAAUGGUCGGGACAGAGGGUCGCCAACCCGCGAGGGGGAGCUACAAUCCCAGAAACCCGAUCGUAAAUCCUGGAUCGCAGUCUGCAACUCGACUGCGUGGUCGGAAUCACGGUAAUCGAUCAGCAUGUCGCGGUGAAUACGUUCCCGGGUCUUGUACACCGCCCGUCACACCAUGGGAGUGGGUUUUACCAGAAGUAGUUAGCCUAACCGUAAGGAGGGCGAUUACCAAUGCGGUAGGAUUCAGAUCGGGGUGAAGUCGUAACAAGGUAG
rnacentral:rRNA from 1 species